UGUAGCAACGCACCUUCAAACCAGCUAUAAGGUCUAACUGACACACUCAAACCUUGUUUUGAUCAAACCUUAAAAUUAGUUCGCUUAGUCGGUUGACAAGUAGAAAAAAUUACAAUAGAUAGUGGAAAAACGUGGCUUGAUUACUAAAGUGGUUUCUGAAUUCUUUAUAUCCAAUUUAUAAAUUUCUUUGAAUUACUGUAUCCUAUUCCGUUUGAAGCUUGAAGUGUAGGUUGAUUGAUUGUCUCCACUUAUAUUCCGUGAGGUCGUGCGAGAUACUCGAAUUUGAGGUGUACCUAUUCAGGUUCCAUUCAAUAUAGUUCAGGGAACGAAUGCAACGAAUUCCACGAAACCCACAAACGUAA